GUAACACCCCACUUUCCCUCAUGCUUCCCUUCUUUAUUCUUCUUCCACCUUUUCACUUUCCUUUUUCAUUCAAGCUUUCUCUUCCCUCUAAUUAAUGGAGCCCCUCAGUAUUUCAAUUCUAUCAUCCCAGAAAAAUCCUAAGAUCACCAUCACCAUAUUUAUCUUUUCUCUCUCCUAUUGAGUUUUAAUUCUUUAGCCUUUCAUGUGCUUGUUCCGAGAAUUAUGAGCAACAACCGUUAGUUUGGUUGGAGAUGAAUGAGUGAAUGAAAGUGUGGGGCGUGGAUCAGAAACAUCAAUCACAGGAAGCUGCCAUUACAAAGUUUCUCAGGGAAAGGGAAAGAGAAGACUCAAUGUUUUAUGUGACGGAAUUGCCGAGGCAUCUGAACUAGAGAUUGAAGCAUAUCCUGUGCUUGACGAACUAACAUAAAAAAUCAGUACUUUAAAUUUAGAGCGCGUGCGCCAAUUGAAAAGCGGACUUGUUACUUUAACUCGGAGAGUCCAGAAGAGCAGCUGAUGGAUGAUGAUGGGGAUAAGGCAGAAAUGUAUGUUACGGAGAAGAAAACACCAAAUAAAAUAAUAACUUUGGUCACAAAAUUAACCCUUACAUGGGUAUGUGGGUUUGUGUUUUAUGCUUCGCUCUGUUAACAUUUUUGUAGUGUACAUUUCUUAUUUAACCCUAAUAUGGGUAUGUGG